GGCAGCCCCUGGGACUCGGCGGGGGUUUGGAAGACAACAGCGAGUGUAACAGGUGAACGAACGCCUGUUAGCCCAGCAACCACUGGGCAGACAAUACAGAGCACGGGCCCUGCCAUCUGGCAGCUCACACCUGCCUCGCCACCCCGUCGCCACCCACCAGCAGGGCUUCAGUGAACAGAUGGCCGACUGAGCUGCUCUCUUUGAGGGGACAGAGAACCCAGACGGGCCUGGCCUCACAGGUCGGGAGGUGAAGCGUUUGAGCUCGAGACAGGUGUCCCGGCAGAAGACUUCACGGCGGACGUAUUGAUUGUUCAUCCCCUGAAAAAGAAAAUCACAGCCAGAGACCCUAGAACAUCGUCCCUCGGACUUUGGAAGGGAUGCCCAUGCUGCUGACCCAGGAC